rnacentral:rRNA from 2 species
UCGCGACCCCAGGUCGG